rnacentral:rRNA from 1 species
CAAUAGCGUAUAUUAAAGUUGUUGCGGUUAAAAAGCUCGUAGUUGGAUUUCUGCUGAGGACGAUCGGUCCGCCCACUGGGUGAGUAUCUGGCUCGGCCUUGGCAUCUUCUUGGAGAACGUUGCUGCACUUGACUGUGUGGUGCGGUAUCCAGGACUUUUGCUUUGAGGAAAUUAGAGUGUUUCAAGCAGGCGCACGCCUUGAAUACAUUAGCAUGGAAUAAUAAGAUAGGACCUUAGUUCUAUUUUGUUGGUUUCUAGAGCUGAGGUAAUGAUUAAUAGGGAUAGUUGGGGGCAUUCGUAUUUAACUGUCAGAGGUGAAAUUCUUGGAUUUGUUAAGGACGGACUACUGCGAAGGCAUUUGCCAAGGAUGUUUUCAUUGA